rnacentral:rRNA from 1 species
GAUGGAGCAACACCGCGUGAGUGAAGAACGGGUUUCGGCUCGUAAAGCUCUGUUUGUUGGAGAAAGAACGUGCGUGAGAGUAACUGUUCACGCAGUGACGGUAUCCAACCAGAAAGUCACGGCUAACUACGUCGCC